GGGUGAGUAACAUAUCGGAACGUAUCCAAAUAAUGGGGGAUAACUAAUCGAAAGGUUGGCUAAUACCGCAUACGCCCUACGGGGGAAAGCAGGGGAUCUUCGGACCUUGCGUUAAUGGAGCGGCUGAUAUCUGAUUAGCUAGUUGGUGAGGUAAAGGCUCACCAAGGCGACGAUCAGUAGCUGGUCUGAGAGGACGACCAGCCACACUGGAACUGAGACACGGUCCAGACUCCUACGGGAGGCAGCAGUGGGGAAUUUUGGACAAUGGGCGCAAGCCUGAUCCAGCCAUUCCGCGUGAGUGAAGAAGGCCUUCGGGUUGUAAAGCUCUUUCGCAAGGGAAGAAACGUUACGGGCGAAUAACUCGUGAUAAUGACGGUACCUUGAUAAGAAGCACCGGCUAACUACGUGCCAGCAGCCGCGGUAAUACGUAGGGUGCGAGCGUUAAUCGGAAUUACUGGGCGUAAAGCGUGCGCAGGCGGUUUUGUAAGUCAGAUGUGAAAUCCCCGAGCUCAACUUGGGAACUGCGUUUGAAACUACAAGACUAGAAUAGGUCAGAGGGGGGUAGAAUUCCACGUGUAGCAGUGAAAUGCGUAGAGAUGUGGAGGAAUAUCA
rnacentral:rRNA from 1 species